rnacentral:rRNA from 1 species
GCGAACGCUGGCGGCAGGCUUAACACAUGCAAGUCGAGCGGGCACCUUCGGGUGUCAGCGGCAAACGGGUGAGUAACACGUGGGAACGUACCCUUCGGUUCGGAAUAACGCUGGGAAACUAGCGCUAAUACCGGAUACGCCCUUAUGGGGAAAGGUUUACUGCCGAAGGAUCGGCCCGCGUCUGAUUAGCUAGUUGGUGGGGUAACGGCCUACCAAGGCGACGAUCAGUAGCUGGUCUGAGAGGAUGAUCAGCCACACUGGGACUGAGACACGGCCCAGACUCCUACGGGAGGCAGCAGUGGGGAAUAUUGGACAAUGGGCGCAAGCCUGAUCCAGCCAUGCCGCGUGAGUGAUGAAGGCCUUAGGGUUGUAAAGCUCUUUUGUCCGGGACGAUAAUGACGGUACCGGAAGAAUAAGCCCCGGCUAACUUCGUG